rnacentral:rRNA from 1 species
UACGGGGGGGGCAAGCGUUGUUCGGAAUUACUGGGCGUAAAGGGCUCGUAGGCGGCCAUCUAAGUCAGACGUGAAAUCCCUCGGCUUAACCGGGGAACUGCAUCUGAUACUGGAUGGCUUGAGUUCGGGAGAGGGAUGCGGAAUUCCAGGUGUAGCGGUGAAAUGCGUAGAUAUCUGGAGGAACACCGGUGGCGAAGGCGGCAUCCUGGACCGACACUGACGCUGAGGAGCGAAAGCCAGGGGAGCAAACGGG